AACGAACGCUGGCGGCAUGCCUAACACAUGCAAGUCGAACGAGACCUUCGGGUCUAGUGGCGCACGGGUGCGUAACGCGUGGGAACCUGCCCUUAGGUUCGGAAUAACUCCCCGAAAGGGGUGCUAAUACCGGAUAAUGUCUUCGGACCAAAGAUUUAUCGCCUUUGGAUGGGCCCGCGUUGGAUUAGCUAGUUGGUAGGGUAAAAGCCUACCAAGGCGACGAUCCAUAGCUGGUCUGAGAGGAUGAUCAGCCACACUGGGACUGAGACACGGCCCAGACUCCUACGGGAGGCAGCAGUGGGGAAUAUUGGACGAGGGGCGAAAGCCUGAUCCAGCAAUGCCGCGUGAGUGAUGAAGGCCUUAGGGUUGUAAAGCUCUUUUACCCGGGAUGAUAAUGACAGUACCGGGAGAAUAAGCACCGGCUAACUCCGUG
rnacentral:rRNA from 1 species